rnacentral:rRNA from 1 species
ACGCGCGGAACCUUACCAGGUCUUGACAUCCUUCGCUACUUCUAGAGAUAGAAGAUUCCCCUUCGGGGGACGAAGUGACAGGUGGUGCAUGGUUGUCGUCAGCUCGUGUCGUGAGAUGUUGGGUUAAGUCCCGCAACGAGCGCAACCCUUGAUCUUAGUUGCCAGCAUUCAGUUGGGCACUCUAAGGUGACUGCCGGUGACAAACCGGAGGAAGGUGGGGAUGACGUCAAAUCAUCAUGCCCCUUAUGACCUGGGCUACACACGUGCUACAAUGGACGGUACAAACGGUUGCCAACCCGCGAGGGGGAGCUAAUCCGAUAAAACCGUUCUCAGUUCGGAUUGUAGGCUGCAACUCGCCUACAUGAAGCCGGAAUCGCUAGUAAUCGCGGAUCAGCAUGCCGCGGUGAAUACGUUCCCGGGCCUUGUACACACCGCCCGU